CGUGAAAACAAUUAGAGGUGGGGCAAAGCACGACAGGAUACAAAGAUUGACCAUCCGGAUACACUUAGCGAUGGGAUAAAAGGAAUAGGACCUGAUACCUCCGAAUUUGCAGUUGGUUUUGGCAGCAAGAAGGUCUAGGGGUAAUGAUUAAUAGGGAUAAUUUGGGGGGCAUUAAUGAUUUAAUCUGUCAGGAGGUCGAAACUCGUUGGAGUCUAUGAACAGAUUAAACUUCUGCGUAAAAGCAUCCUGCACAAAGGAUGUGUGUUCAAUUAAAUCAAGCAAGCGAGAAGUCUAGGUGGAUCGUAAUGACUGAUCUAAGAAUACCAGUUCGUAGAUCAUUAAUCCUCUAAAAGGAUAGCCAGACUCAGUCGAUAUAAGGAUGACUGAUUGAAUACACACACUAAAACGAGGCAUACGGUAUGCGGUACGUACCUUGAGCGUCUACGGUUUCGUGCACGGAGCAUCGGUAUCGCUAGUUCCUGGCCUCGAG
rnacentral:rRNA from 1 species